AUCUCACUGGUGGAAUAGGUAGACACAUCAGUCUUAGAAGCUGAGAGAGAAAUCUGUAUAGGUUCGAGUCCUAUGUGAGAUA
rnacentral:tRNA from 1 species